rnacentral:rRNA from 1 species
UGGGGAAUAUUGGGCAAUGGGCGCAAGCCUGACCCAGCAAUACCGCGUGUGUGAAGAAGGCCUGAGGGUUGUAAAGCACUUUCAAUGGGGAGGAAAAAGGCAAGUUUAAUACGCUUGCCCUUGACAUUACCCAUACAAGAAGCACCGGCUAACUCCGUGCCAGCAGCCGCGGUAAUACGGAGGGUGCGAGCGUUAAUCGGAAUUACUGGGCGUAAAGCGUGCGUAGGCGGCCUGCCAAGUCAGAUGUGAAAGCCCUGGGCUCAACCUGGGAACGGCAUUUGAAACUGGCAGGCUCGAGUUGGGUAGAGGCAGGCGGAAUUCCGGGUGUAGCGGUGAAAUGCGUAGAUAUCCGGAGGAACACCAGUGGCGAAGGCGGCCUGCUGGGCCCAAACUGACGCUGAGGCACGAAAGCGUGGGUAGCAAACAGGAUUAGAUACCCCCGUAGUCCCUGAGCGGGCUGGCAAGGCGCAU